GCUUACGGCCAUACCUACCCUGAAAACGCCCGAUCUCGUCCGAUCUCGGAAGCUAAGCAGGGGCGGGGCCUGGUUAGUACUUGGAUGGGAGACCGCUGGGAAUACCAUGGUGCCGUAAGCU